rnacentral:rRNA from 1 species
GACGAACGCUGGCGGCGUGCUUAACACAUGCAAGUCGAACGGAAAGGCCCUUCUUUUGUUGGGUGCUCGAGUGGCGAACGGGUGAGUAACACGUGAGUAACCUGCCCUUGACUUUGGGAUAACUUCAGGACACUGGGGCUAAUACCGGAUAGGAGCUCCUGCUGCAUUGUGGGGGUUGGACAGUUUCGGCGGUUGUGUAUGGAUUCGCGGCGUUUCAGCUUGUUGGUGGGGUAGUGGCGUAGCAAGGCUUUGACGGGUAGGCGGCCUGAGAGGGUUACCGGCCACAUUGGGACUGAGAUACGGCGCAGACUCCGACGGGAGGCAGCAGUGGGGAAUAUUGCACAAUGGGCGGAAGCCGGAUGCAGCAACGCCGCGUGCGGGAUGACGGCCUUCGGGUUGUAAACCGCUUUCGCCUGUGACGAAGCGUGAGUGACGGUAAUGGGUAAAGAAGCACCGGCUAACUACGUG